ACGGAGAAUUAGGGUUCGAUUCC
rnacentral:siRNA from 1 species